rnacentral:rRNA from 1 species
AUUGAACGCUGGCGGCAUGCUUUACACAUGCAAGUCGAACGGUAACAGGCCGCAAGGUGCUGACGAGUGGCGAACGGGUGAGUAAUGCAUCGGAACGUGCCCAGUCGUGGGGGAUAACGCAGCGGAAGCUGCGCUAAUACCGCAUACGAUGUAUGUAUGAAAGAGGGGGACCGUAAGGCCUCGCGCGAUUGGAGCGGCCGAUGUCAGAUUAGGUAGUUGGUGAGGUAAAGGAUCACCAAGCCGACGAUCUGUAGCUGGUCUGAGAGGACGACCAGACACACUGGGACUGAGACACGGCCCAGACUCCUACGGGAGGCAGCAGUGGGGAAUUUUGGACAAUGGGGGCAAACCUGAUCCAGCAAUGCCGCGUGCAGGAAGAAGGCCUUCGGGUUGUAAACUGCUUUUGUACGGAACGAAACGGCACUGGUUAAUACCUGGGGCUAAUGACGGUACCGUAAGAAUAAGCACCGGCUAACUACGUGCCAGCCGCCGCCGUAAGAC